CGCCUCUUGCAAACUUAUAAGAGGUCCAGCCUGCCCAGUGACUCUGUUCAACGGCCGCGGUAUCCUAACCGUGCGAAGGUAGCGUAAUCACUUGUUCUUUAAAUGUGGACUAGUAUGAACGGCACCACGAAGGUUACACUGUCUCCUUUUUUUAAUCAGUGAAACUAAUCUCCCCGUGAAGAAGCGGGGAUAAAAUUAUAAGACGAGAAGACCCUAUGGAGCUUUAAACAACAUAGCACUUGCCCCACAAAAUUUAAAUUCCUGAACCCCCAAACUUCAUUAGGCAGUAUGACUAUAAGUUUUUGGUUGGGGUGACCGCGGAGCAUAACACAACCUCCAUGCUGAAAGAAUUCUUUUAAGCCAAGAGCUACCAAUCUAAGCAUCAAUAAAUUGACAUCCAUUGACCCAAUACACUUGAACAACGAACCAAGUUACCCUAGGGAUAACAGCGCAAUCCACUUCAAGAGCCCCUAUCGACAAGUGGGUUUACGACCUCGAUGUUGGAUCAGGGUCUCCCAGUGGUGCAGCCGCUACUAAAGGUUCGUUUGUUCAACGAUUUAAACCCUACG
rnacentral:rRNA from 1 species